rnacentral:lncRNA from 1 species
ACAGUUCUUUAAGCUUAGUGAAGCAUGUUGCUACAGAAGCAGUUCCUUGUGUUAGCCUCACAAUUUCUUGAUGUAAACUGAAGGAUCUAGAUCCAUCAACUUUAUUAAUCUUUCUUUAAGAUCUUCUCAUACAUCUUGAGCACUAUCAGCAUACACCAUUUCUCCUAACAAGUUACUAGAUACAGUAUUCAUAAUUCAAGAUUGGACUAUAGCAUUACACAUUUCCCAUUGGUACCAUAGUUCUUCCCUAAAACUUUCUUUUUUCCAAGAGCCAUCAACAAAACCUGACUUGUUUAUUCCUAAUAAGGCUAUUCUCAUGUAUUUACUCUAUAGAGAGUAAUUUUCUGCUCCAGUUAACUAUAGAGAAAUGAGUUAAAUGCCACUUGCAUUUGUUGAAUGCAGAUACAAGGGAUGGUUAUGACCCAUAGCUGGUAAGGUUUCUGGUGCAUUUGUGUUGUACUUGCAUCGAUUUGAUUAAUAGGUACUCCACUCCCAGUUUCCAGAUUUUCUGCACCAUUGAUUGCCAUGUUUCAAGAGUUAUUUCUCAGAUAUUCAACUUGAUACAAAAUCUGCUUCUUCCUUCUUUUCAGUUUCUACAGAACUUUUAAGAACUGUAAAUUUUCAGAGUUUUGUGAGAGUGAUUUGAGUGCGGAUGCUCUGAUACCAUCUAGAAAUCAUACAUGCAACCUAUAUCGAUUGUGGACCCAAGAACAUAAUCAACAAAAGUAGAGAAGGAAGAAUCGGAGAGGGAGAAGAGGAAGAAGAUGAAGAAGAGAAGCAGGAAUAGAGAGAUAAG